UACAGAGGUCUCAAGCGUUGUCCGGAAUUACUGGGCGUAAAGAGCUCGUAGGUGGUUUGUCGCGUUGUUCGUGAAAACUCACAGCUCAACUGUGGGCGUGCAGUGGAUACGGGCUGGCUGGAGGCAGGCAGGGGAGAACGGAAUUCCCGGUGUAGCGGUGAAAUGACGCAGAUAUCGGGAGGAACACCGGUGGCGAAGGCGGUUCUCUGGACCGUAACUGACGCUGAGGCGCGAAAGCGUGGGGAGCAAACAGG
rnacentral:rRNA from 1 species